rnacentral:pre_miRNA from 1 species
CUUGUACUCCCUCCGUCCGAAAAUACUUACCAUUGAAAUGGAUGUAUCUAGAUGUAUUUUAGUUCUAGACACAUCCAUUUUGAUGACAAGUAAUUCCGGACGGAGGGAGUACUUG